rnacentral:ncRNA from 2 species
AAGUCGUAACAAGGUCUCCGUUGGUGAACCAGCGGAGGGAUCAUUACCGAGUUUACAACUCCCAAACCCCUGUGAACAUACCACUUGUUGCCUCGGCGGAUCAGCCCGCUCCCGGUAAAACGGGACGGCCCGCCAGAGGACCCCUAAACUCUGUUUCUAUAUGUAACUUCUGAGUAAAACCAUAAAUAAAUCAAAACUUUCAACAACGGAUCUCUUGGUUCUGGCAUCGAUGAAGAACGCAGCAAAAUGCGAUAAGUAAUGUGAAUUGCAGAAUUCAGUGAAUCAUCGAAUCUUUGAACGCACAUUGCGCCCGCCAGUAUUCUGGCGGGCAUGCCUGUUCGAGCGUCAUUUCAACCCUCAAGCACAGCUUGGUGUUGGGACUCGCGUUAAUUCGCGUUCCCCAAAUUGAUUGGCGGUCACGUCGAGCUUCCAUAGCGUAGUAGUAAAACCCUCGUUACUGGUAAUCGUCGCGGCCACGCCGUUAAACCCCAACUUCUGAAUGUUGACCUCGGAUCAGGUAGGAAUACCCGCUGAACUUAA